rnacentral:lncRNA from 1 species
CAGCUGUAUUUAAAAAAUUAAUCACAUUCUUGGCAAUUGAAAAGGUUAGCUGUAGUACUUCAAAAUGCAAUUGGAAACUCAGAUCAGCAGAAAAUCUCGGAGGGAAUGAAAAGAAAUGCUUUUGAUGAGAACAGCAUGUAAAUGAUUUGUGCGUCUUAUAAGAUGCACUUGCAGUUUAAUUUGGUGGCACCACACAGUGGCAGCGCACUGGAAAUGCAAAGUAAAUGUGCUUUUGUUCGUGAAUUCGUUUAGCACCAUUACUGUAUCUGAAUGCAUUGGUAUUUAUAACGUCCUUAGUUUGAAUGGGAAAAUAAAUGAAAUGCUUGGAUGGAGUUCAAAUCGCAUAAGCAAUAGAGUCUUGCGGCUGAGCUGGAUUGCUGGGAUUCAGGGA